rnacentral:rRNA from 1 species
AUUGAACGCUGGCGGCAGACCUAACACAUGCAAGUCGAGCGGUAGAGAGAAGCUUGCUUCUCUUGAGAGCGGCGGACGGGUGAGUAAUGCCUAGGAAUCUGCCUGGUAGUGGGGGGAUAACGGUUCGGAAACGAACGCUAAUACCGCAUACGUCCUACGGGAGAAAGCAGGGGGACCUUCGGGCCUUGCGCUAUCAGAUGAGCCUAGGUCGGAUUAGCUAGUUGGUGAGGUAAUGGCUACACCAAGGCGACGAUCCGUAACUGGUCUGAGAGGAUGAUCAGUCACACUGGAACUGAGACACGGUCCAGACUCCUACGGGAGCAGCAGUGGGGAAUAUUGGACAAUGGGCGAAAGCCUGAUCCAGCCAUGCCGCGUGUGUGAAGAAGGUCUUCGGAUU